UACAGAGGUCUCAAGCGUUGUUCGGAUUCAUUGGGCGUAAAGGGUGCGUAGGCGGCGCGGUAAGUCGGGUGUGAAAUCUUGGAGCUUAACUCCGAAACUGCAUUCGAUACUGCCGUGCUUGAGGACUGGAGAGGAGACUGGAAUUUACGGUGUAGCGGUGAAAUGCGUAGAGAUCGGCAGGAACACCCAGGGGGAAACCAGCCGACUGGGCAGCUGCUGACGCUGAGGUGCGAGAGCGUGGGGAGCGAACCGG
rnacentral:rRNA from 1 species